UAGAAUCUAGGAAACCAGAACCACUCUACUUCCUGGAUUUGUCAGUAAGCCUGGCACCGAGCUAAGAGGGUCUUAGCAAAACCCGAGAGCUGCACCAUGAAGUGAGCUUUAGUUUCCGGAGCUGCAGCGAGAACUGUUGAACAACUUUCCCAAGUGACACAUCAACUUCUCCCUCAUCAUCCACAGCUUUAAAAACACAAGGACCACAAACCCCACAGUGAGGCAGUCUCCUCACAGCAGAUACCCGGUCUGCUGUUCAGCUGGUCUCUGCAGGAUCAGAGCUCUGAUUGUGAAUGUGAGUGUGUUUGGAUGUGGACAGCUGCAGGAGUAAAGGUCGAACUAAAGGUCGUUUAGAUGGAGUCGUUUGUAUUCAGGGAGGGAAAUGUCUUGAUCUAUGUUUUCCUUUGAGGAGGAAAACAACAACUAAAGGAUUUGAAAAGUCAGAGGAUUCAGAGCUUUUCACUUCACAAACAGCUGAGUUCAGACAACCCUGGAGGAGAGAGGACUGUCGGCUCUGAAGCAGCCUGAGCAGAAGCUGCUUCAUCCUUCACAUCACAACAGCUGCAGUCUCUAAAUCAGCCAAUAAGAUCAGGACGAUGAUAUCAUCACAACUCUGAUUAUCUCCAACUCUCCUGUAUACCAACAAGUCCCCUCUUCUCUCAUUAUGAAAGAAUACCUGUGGACCUUUUGACCUUUGACCUCCAGCUGUGCUGCAGUCUGAGGGGCUGUACAGGUGAAGUUUAAAACAUGUGUCCUCCAGUGACCUCUGCUGGUCUGAUGAACUCUUGAUUCAGGUUUUACUGUCCUGCAGAGCGGCCUCAGUCAGGAUCACAGAUACACACAGGAGUUAGUCCUUUUAUAAAACCCACAUCAUGUCUUUGUGAUGGUUCAGAGGCUUCAGAUCUGGACAAGAGGAACAUUCAGGAGCUCUGAAGCAGACAUAAAUAAGUUCCUCUAAUGACCGACUCUUCUAAAUUCAAACAUAAAAGAGUUA